rnacentral:lncRNA from 1 species
CUAAAGGGGGGAACUAAAGGGGAAGAAGGGGUUCUUCCCCUAAAGGGGAACUUUAGUUCAUCCCCUUUAGGGGAACUUUAGUUCCCCCUUUAGGGGAAGAAGAAGACUUUGGGGUUCUUCCCCUAAAGGGGAAGAAGAAGAGCACUAAAGGGGAUGAAGACAAGGAAGGAAAGGGGCAGAGCCCCGUAAUCGAGUUAACUCACAAACGUCUUUGCGUUAGAAGUUUCAGGCCUAGGAUGGUUCUCACCAUACUAGGAGAACCAUUCUAGGCCUGAUACAGUCAACAAUUAAACUCCAAUAUAGGGACAGCCGUUUCCCGAAUGGAACCUCAACGACGAACUAGGUUUUACUACGUUAAGCUACGUGGUAGCGCUUCUUCCCCUUUAGUGAAAACGAAGGGGAUGAACUAAAGGGGAACCCCCUUCGUCCCCCCCCCCUCUGGUUGUGCCAACCUCUUCGUAUAACUAAAAGCCUUUGUUGGUCUUAACUUGACGUACUCUGACCUUGUGGCAUUAGGAGGAGGGACGUAGCCAUAAAAAGCCCCCUACUAUGUAGUAUUAUAAAGGACGGUUAAAUAAAAAAGACUACGUACCUUGUCUUUGUUUAUGUUUAGCAUUUGAGCAAAUAACCAUAACUUUUCCCUUGCGUUUAAUAACACGACAGUUAUCACACAUUUUCUUAACCGAAGCACGUACUUUCAUAAUAUUUUAUUUCUGUUUUUAUGUUUUUUAAACACAAUAUAAACACAGAUAAGCGUUUACAAAAUAUUUUGUU